CAGAUUUCAUUUGUAUAUGCACUGUUCAUCCUUUUUCAUUGACCAGGUGGCUUGAUUGUUGUUUUGGCAAAGUGUGUCGCCGAAGCCACUAUGUUUUCUGCGUUUUUAUCUAUAAGCACCUUCAUAGCUCAUUUGGUAGAGCACAUGACUUUAAGAAGUUCUAGAAACGCUCUGGUUCAAAGGUCGCUGGUUCAACUCCUGCUCCAAACACCAGAUUUCAUUGGUCUAUGCACUGUUCAACCUUUUUCCUUGACAAGGUGGCUUGAUUGUUGUUUUGGCAAAGUGUGUCGCCGAAGCCACUAUGUUUUCUGCGUUUAUAUCUAUAAGCACCUUCAUAGCUCAGUUGGUAGAGCACAUGACUUUAAGAAGUUCCUGAAACGCUGUGGUCCAAAGGACGCUGGUUCAACUCCUGCUCCAAACACCAGAUUUCAUUGGUGUAUGCACUGUUCAACCUUUUUCAUUGACCAUGUUGGUUCAAUAGUUAUGUUGGCAAAGUGUGUCGCCGAAGCCACUAUGUUUUCUGCGUUUUUAUCUAUAAGCACCUUCAUAGCUCAGUUGGUAGAGCACAUGACUUUAAGAAGUUCCUGAAACGCUGUGGUCCAAAGGACGCUGGUUCAACUCCUGCUCCAAACACCAGAUUUCAUUUGUAUAUGCACUGUUCAUCCUUUUUCAUUGACCAGGUGGCUUGAUUGUUGUUUUGGCAAAGUGUGUCGCCGAAGCCACUAUGUUUUCUGCGUUUUUAUCUAUAAGCACUUUCAUAGCUCAGUUGGUAGAGCACAUGACUGUAAGAAGUUCCUGAAACGCUGUGGUCCAAAGGUCGCUGGUUCAACUCCUACUCCAAACACCAGAUUUCAAUGGUCUAUGCACUGUUCAACCUUUUUCAUUGACCAGGUGGCUUGAUUGUUGUUUUGGCAAAGUGUGUCGCCGAAGCCACUAUGUUUUCUGCGUUUUUAUCUAUAAGCACCUUCAUAGCUCAGUUGGUAGAGCACAUGACUUUAAGAAGUUCCUGAAACGCUGUGGUCCAAAGGUCGCUGGUUCAACUCCUGCUCCAAACACCAGAUUUCAUUCGUAUAUGCACUGUUCAUCCUUUUUCAUUGACCAGGUGGCUUGAUUGUUGUUUUGGCAAAGUGUGUCGCCGAAGCCACUAUGUUUUCUGCGUUUUUAUCUAUAAGCACCUUCAUAGCUCAGUUGGUAGAGCACAUGACUGUAAGAAGUUCCUGAAACGCUGUGGUCCAAAGGUCGCUGGUUCAACUCCUACUCCAAACACCAGAUUUCAAUGUUCUAUGCACUGUUCAACCUUUUUCAUUGACCAGGUGGCUUGAUUGUUGUUUUGGCAAAGUGUGUCGCCGAAGCCACUAUGUUUUCUGCGUUUUUAUCUAUAAGCACCUUCAUAGCUCAGUUGGUAGAGCACAUGACUUUAAGAAGUUCCUGAAACGCUGUGGUCCAAAGGUCGCUGGUUCAACUCCAGCUCCAAGCAACAGAUUUCAUUUGUAUAUGCACUGUUCAUCCUUUUUCAUUGACCAGGUGGCUUGAUUGUUGUUUUGGCAAAGUGUGUCGCCGAAGCCACUAUGUUUUCUGCGUUUUUAUCUAUAAGCACCUUCAUAGCUCAUUUGGUAGAGCACAUGACUUUAAGAAGUUCUAGAAACGCUCUGGUUCAAAGGUCGCUGGUUCAACUCCUGCUCCAAACACCAGAUUUCAUUGGUCUAUUCACUGUUCAACCUUUUUCAUUGACCAGGUGGCUUGAUUGUUGUGUUGGCAAAGUGUGUCGCCGAAGCCACUAUGUUUUCUCCGUUUUCAUCUAUAAGCACCUUCAUAGCUCAUUUGGUAGAGCACAUGACUGUAAGAAGUUCCUGAAACGCUGUGGUCCAAAGGUCCCUGGUUCAACUCCAGCUCCAAGCACCAGAUUUCAUUUGUAUAUGCACUGUUCAUCCUUUUUCAUUGACCAGUUUGCUUCAUUGUUGUGUUGGCAAAGUGUGUCGCCGAAGCCACUAUGUUUUCUGCGUUUUUAUCUAUAAGCAGCUUCAUAGCUCAGUUGGUAGAGCACAUGACUUUAAGAAGUUCCUGAAACGCUGUGGUCCAAAGGACGCUGGUUCAACUCCUGCUCCAAACACCAGAUUUCAUUUGUCUAUGCACUGUUCAACCUUUUUCAUUGACCAGGUUGGUUCAAUAGUUAUGUUGGCAAAGUGUGUCGCCGAAGCCACUAUGUUUUCUGCGUUUUUAUCUAUAAGCACCUUCAUAGCUCAGUUGGUAGAGCACAUGACUUUAAGAAGUUCCUGAAAUGCUGUGGUCCAAAGGUCGCUGGUUCAACUCCAGCUCCAAGCACCGGAUUUCAUUUGUAUAUGCACUGUUCAUCCUUUUUCAUUGACCAGGUGGCUUGAUUGUUGUUUUGGCAAAGUGUGUCGCCGAAGCCACUAUGUUUUCUGCGUUUUUAUCUAUAAGCACCUUCAUAGCUCAGUUGGUAGAGCACAUGACUUUAAGAAGUUCCUGAAACGCUGUGGUCCAAAGGACGCUGGUUCAACUCCAGCUCCAAACACCAGAUUUCAUUGGUGUAUGCACUGUUCAACCUUUUCCAUUGACCAUGUUGGUUCAAUAGUUAUGUUGGCAAAGUGUGUCGCCGAAGCCACUAUGUUUUCUGCGUUUUUAUCUAUAAGCACCUUCAUAGCUCAGUUGGUAGAGCACAUGACUUUAAGAAGUUCCUGAAACGCUGUGGUCCAAAGGACGCUGGUUCAACUCCUGCUCCAAACACCAGAUUUCAUUUGUAUAUGCACUGUUCAUCCUUUUUCAUUGACCAGGUGGCUUGAUUGUUGUUUUGGCAAAGUGUGUCGCCGAAGCCACUAUGUUUUCUGCGUUUUUAUCUAUAAGCACCUUCAUAGCUCAGUUGGUAGAGCACAUGACUGUAAGAAGUUCCUGAAACGCUGUGGUCCAAAGGUCGCUGGUUCAACUCCUACUCCAAACACCAGAUUUCAAUGGUCUAUGCACUGUUCAACCUUUUUCAUUGACCAGGUGGCUUGAUUGUUGUUUUGGCAAAGUGUGUCGCCGAAGCCACUAUGUUUUCUGCGUUUUUAUCUAUAAGCACCUUCAUAGCUCAGUUGGUAGAGCACAUGACUUUAAGAAGUUCCUGAAACGCUGUGGUCCAAAGGUCGCUAGUUCAACUCCAGCUCCAAGCACCAGAUUUCAUUUGUAUGUGCACUGUUCAUCCUUUUUCAUUGACCAGGUGGCUUGAUUGUUGUUUUGGCAAAGUGUGUCGCCGAAGCCACCAUGUUUUCUGCGUUUUUAUCUAUAAGCACCUUCAUAUCUCAGUUGGUAGAGCACAUGACUGUAAGAAGUUCCUGAAACGCUGUGGUCCAAAGGUCGCUGGUUCAACUCCUGCUCCAAACACCAGAUUUCAAUGCUCUAUGCACUGUUCAACCUUUUUCAUUGACCAGGUGGCUUGAUUGUUGUUUUGGCAAAGUGUGUCGCCGAAGCCACUAUGUUUUCUGCGUUUUUAUCUAUAAGCACCUUCAUAGCUCAGUUGGUAGAGCAAAUGACUUUAAGAAGUUCCUGAAACGCUGUGGUCCAAAGGUCGCUAGUUCAACUCCAGCUCCAAGCACCAGAUUUCAUUUGUAUGUGCACUGUUCAUCCUUUUUCAUUGACCAGGUGGCUUGAUUGUUGUUUUGGCAAAGUGUGUCGCCGAAGCCACCAUGUUUUCUGCGUUUUUAUCUAUAAGCACCUUCAUAUCUCAGUUGGUAGAGCACAUGACUUUAAGAAGUUCCUGAAACGCUGUGGUCCAAAGGUCGCUGGUUCAACUCCUGCUCCAAACACCAGAUUUCAAUGCUCUAUGCACUGUUCAUCCUUUUUCAUUGACCAGGUGGCUUGAUUGUUGUUUUGGCAAAGUGUGUCGCCGAAGCCACUAUGUUUUCUGCGUUUUCAUCUAUAAGCACCUUCAUAGCUCAGUUGGUAGAGCACAUGACUGUAAGAAGUUCCUGAAACGCUGUGGUCCAAAGGUCGCUGGUUCAACUCCAGCUCCAAGCACCAGAUUUCAUUUGUAUAUGCACUGUUCAUCCUUUUUCAUUGACCAGGUGGCUUGAUUGUUGUGUUGGCAAAGUGUGUCGCCGAAGCCACUAUGUUUUCUGCGUUUUUAUCUAUAAGCACCUUCAUAGCUCAGUUGGUAGAGCACAUGACUUUAAGAAGUUCCUGAAACCCUGUGGUCCAAAGGACGCUGGUUCAAUUCCUGCUCCAAACAGCAGAUUUCAUUUGUCUAUGCACUGUUCAACCUUUUUCAUUGACCAUGUUGGUUCAAUAGUUAUGUUGAAAAAGUGUGUCGCCGAAGCCACUAUGUUUUCUGCGAUUUUAUCUAUAAGUACCUUCAUAGCUCAGUUGCUAGAGCACAUGACUUUAAGAAGUUCCUGAAACGCUGUGGUCCAAAGGUCGCUGGUUCAACUCCUGCUCCAAACACCAGAUUUCAUUGGUCUAUGCACUGUUCAACCUUUUUCAUUGACCAUGUUGGUUCAAUAGUUAUGUUGGCAAAGUGUGUCGCCGAAGCCACUAUGUUUUCUGCGUUUUUAUCUAUAAGCACCUUCAUAGCUCAGUUGGUAGAGCACAUGACUUUAAGAAGUUCCUGAAAUGCUGUGGUCCAAAGGUCGCUGGUUCAACUCCAGCUCCAAGCACCAGAUUUCAUUUGUAUAUGCACUGUUCAUCCUUUUUCAUUGACCAGGUGGCUUGAUUGUUGUUUUGGCAAAGUGUGUCGCCGAAGCCACUAUGUUUUCUGCGUUUUUAUCUAUAAGCACCUUCAUAGCUCAGUUGGUAGAGCACAUGACUUUAAGAAGUUCCUGAAACGCUGUGGUCCAAAGGUCGCUGGUUCAACUCCUACUCCAAACACCAGAUUUCAAUGGUCUAUGCACUGUUCAACCUUUUUCAUUGACCAGGUGGCUUGAUUGUUGUUUUGGCAAAGUUUGUCGCCGAAGCCACUAUGUUUUCUGCGUUUUUAUCUAUAAGCACCUUCAUAGCUCAGUUGGUAGAGCACAUGACUUUAAGAAGUUCCUGAAACGCUGUGGUCCAAAGGUCGCUGGUUCAACUCCAGCUCCAAGCAACAGAUUUCAUUUGUAUAUGCACUGUUCAUCCUUUUUCAUUGACCAGGUGGCUUGAUUGUUGUUUUGGCAAAGUGUGUCGCCGAAGCCACUAUGUUUUCUGCGUUUUUAUCUAUAAGCACCUUCAUAGCUCAUUUGGUAGAGCACAUGACUUUAAGAAGUUCUAGAAACGCUCUGGUUCAAAGGUCGCUGGUUCAACUCCUGCUCCAAACACCAGAUUUCAUUGGUCUAUGCACUGUUCAAACUUUUUCAUUGACCAGGUGGCUUGAUUGUUGUGUUGGCAAAGUGUGUCGCCGAAGCCACUAUGUUUUCUCCGUUUUCAUCUAUAAGCACCUUCAUAGCUCAGUUGGUAGAGCACAUGACUGUAAGAAGUUCCUGAAACGCUGUGGUCCAAAGGUCCCUGGUUCAACUCCAGCUCCAAGC